CAGCCGCCACGGGAAUACGAAGGGUGCAAGCGUUAAUCGGAAUUACUGGGCGUAAAGCGUGCGUAGGCGGUUUGUUAAGUCUGUUGUGAAAUCCCCGGGCUCAACCCGGGGAUGGCAAUGGAUACUGGCAAGCUAGAGUGUGUCAGAGGAUGGUGGAAUUCCCGGUGUAGCAGUGAAAUGCGUAGAUAUGCGGAGGAACACCGAUGGCGAAGGCAGCCCCCUGGGCCAACACUGACGCUCAUGCACGAAAGCGUGGGGAGCAAACAGGAUUAGAUACCCCCGUAGUCCCUGUCUCUUAUAC
rnacentral:rRNA from 1 species